rnacentral:misc_RNA from 1 species
GUCCAGAGCCCUUGGAUCAAAGAACAAGACAACAAGACCGGCGCUCUUUAUUCUCAGCCUUCGGAUCCCCCUUGACAAGAAAAUUCUGAGCCGUCAGAUUAGAAAGGAGAAAGGACAAAUAUGCAGAAAAGGAUCUCGGUCGUUCGUUUUGAUUCUUUUUAAUUCUCAACCAUCAGAUCAUGUCCUUUAAGACCCAAACCGUCCAUCUCCUUCAAGGGGAAUCCUGACCCUUCAUUGGGAGCACACGUUCCCUAUAAAUACCUGCAUGAAAAAC